rnacentral:misc_RNA from 1 species
AUUUAGUAUAGAAUACUAACAUCAUACGCAUUUAAUUAAGUUUUAAGUGUUGUUCUUUCUAGAGUUUGUUCAAGUUUAAAGAAAUGUUGUUCAAUAUAGUAAAUGGUUUUGUGACUUCAAACAACAGAAGUGAUGGAAUCGCAGUUUUUAGCUGUUUAAUCAAUAGGUUGUGAAAGAUAAGGCAGAAGACUUCGUAAGCUACAAUGUUAUACUUGUUUCUCUGGAAUUAUUUAUUGGUCAAUAUUGAUUUGAUUAUUUUACUUGUGUUGUAUUUUUUAUAAAUUUCUUUAGAGCUUUUGGUUUCUAGACAAUAUUCUCAUGAUGCCAUCUUGAAGAACAGCCCAUCACUUAUCAUGUUAAAUUUCUG